UCCAGCGCACUCACCUAUCCACUAAACAGCAACUUCAAUGUUGAAAGAUUUUAUUUGUUUUUUUUAAAAAAACAUUUAAAAAAACAAAUAAAAUCUUUCAACAUUGAAGUUGCUGUUUAGUGGAUAGGUGAGUGCGCUGGA